UUAUAAACGACAAGGAAGUAAAGGAAUGACUCGUCGCCUUGAAAAGAUCGAUGGUUUUAUCGUAGUUUAGAGCAUUUGAGGAUCACUGUAUAUCCUUCGUGAACCUUAAAAUGGCUGAAGGUGGACACCCUCCGGAACUGGACUUACACGUACUGGAAUGUCCUAUCUGUCUGGAGAGACUUCAGAAACCAAAGUCCUUACCCUGUCUCCACUGCUUCUGUCAGGAAUGUCUGGGGACCUACAUCACGAAGGAGUUGCCUGGGAAGAUGGCGUCAGAAACAUCUAUUGACAAUAUCUGUUCAUGGUGACAAGUUUGUGGUCACUGAUUAUUAUGACAACUCCAUCCGGAUCUUUCAGCUCUAUUAGUAUGUCUACAAUAACAGACACAAACGCGAGCUGAUCACGUGAUAAUUAAGUUGGCCGUAACAAAGUCAGUUCACACAUUUUGACAAAUUUCUAUACCAACUUGAAACAUAUGAACGUUUUAUAUCUAACAUCAACUGAUAUGCGACAUUAUCACCAAACACAUUGUAAUCUGUGUACAUUUAGAAUAAGCAAUUAUCGACUAUUUUUGUAAUAAAAGGUAACUGUUUACAA